AUUGAACGCUGGCGGCAGGCCUAACACAUGCAAGUCGAGCGGAUGAAGGGAGCUUGCUCCUGGAUUCAGCGACGGACGGGUGAGUAAUGCCUAGGAAUCUGCCUGGUAGUGGGGGAUAACGUCCGGAAACGGGCGCUAAUACCGCAUACGUCCUGAGGGAGAAAGUGGGGGAUCUUCGGACCUCACGCUAUCAGAUGAGCCUAGGUCGGAUUAGCUAGUUGGUGGGGUAAAGGCCUACCAAGGCGACGAUCCGUAACUGGUCUGAGAGGAUGAUCAGUCACACUGGAACUGAGACACGGUCCAGACUCCUACGGGAGGCAGCAGUGGGGAAUAUUGGACGAAGGGCGAAAGCCUGAUCCAGCCAUGCCGCGUGUGUGAAGAAGGUCUUCGGAUUGUAAAGCACUUUAAGUUGGGAGGAAGGGCAGUAAGUUAAUACCUUGCUGUUUUGACGUUACCAACAGAAUAAGCACCGGCUAACUUCGUG
rnacentral:rRNA from 1 species